UGCAUGUUGGUGAUGGAUGGAUAUGUCACAAUUUACUCAUACAAGCAUUCGAUGCAGGAUCCAAUUUCAAGAUUCAGAAAGUUGGUGACAGAAGAGGAAAAAUUGUUUGGAACGAUGAGUUUCCUCAUAAGACUAAUAAAACUGGAGGACCUGAGAACAAUGGAUAUCCAGAUCCAAACCAUACAAUGAAACUGAAAGAAGCAUUGGAAGGCAAAAGGAUUCAAGAAUGAUGGACGGAUUCCCUCCAUGCGGUUCCAAAGUUGACGAGAUCCAGAAAGAUUUCCUACAACACUGAUUGUACUGUUCCCUGCAUAGGAUACUGAACUUGCUUCAUUAAAUCUACAUCAAAUGCCAAAACAAUAUUACCAUUGCAGCCCUUGUGCAAAUUAUGUUCUUGAUCAAAUUUUACAAAUAACAAAGUUUCAUAUUAAGAAUUGUAUUUGUGCCAUUUGUGUAAGGCAAAUUGACAAAUAAGUAAAAUGCCCUAGGCGGCUGAAGCUUAAGACUUAACUGCGCUGGCAUCGUUGAUUACACAUUGCAGGUUUAAAUUCCACCCCCUCACCUCUCCCAUGGUCUAUUAGAUUGAGUAGGCAAAAUGAAAAGAUUUUGAAACUUUCAAAUAAAUAGUUGCUCCUCACAUAUUGUUCGAUAUCAGUGACUGCUAUCAUAUAGUUUAAUAUUUUUGAGGCAUUUUUUUUAUAAUUCUCUAAAUAUUCCUGUUUUUUCCACAGUCUACAACACUCUGGGUGAGGUAGCGGGCAUAUGAUUGAACUUGGGUUAUUUAAUCAGACAUGCCAACAUAGUCGAGUCUAAACACAACGCUAAUAGGAUGAUUGUAUUGCCAAUAUAUUUAAUUUGGUGGAAUCAAUCAGCAAAACGCUAUGUAUUCGCAUUAAUUUCUUUAUUAAUUAUAAUAUGUUAAAUAAACUGGCAUUUUUAAGUUAGUCAAGAUAUCUGAAAAGUGUUUUGACAAUUUGUGACAGGUUAUACCCGAAUGCCCAUUGGUUCGUACUUUAACAAAAAUUAAUUAAUCAAGUAUGGUUUGAUUUAAAAAAUGUCCAACCCAAACCUGUGUUGUUGAGCUCAUGAAUUACGCUGAAUAGAUUAUCUGUAUAAAUAUUUUUACCCUGGGUGCUAAUUGCUAUCCACAACUAAAUAUAUUAUUAAUCUAAGUUUCAAUGUUGUUUCUUAUGCAUUUUAAUAUAUUACUUUUAUGAUAUAUUGUAUAAUUAUUCCGUAGCUUCCCUGCUUCUGCUGUAAAUAGAUCUAUACAAUUCUGAGCUUCUAAUUGCCAACCACCGCUGUAUAUAUAUCAACAUCCCAUUCAAUAUCCAAUAGUAUUUUUAUAAUCAUUCAACCAAGCCUGUGCUGUAUAAUAUAAGGUACUACCGAAGUAUGUGGACCAAGAUGGCCGACACCAGAACGUAGUAUGUGUACC